UAGGGAAUCUUCGGCAAUGGGGGCAACCCUGACCGAGCAACGCCGCGUGAGUGAAGAAGGUUUUCGGAUCGUAAAGCUCUGUUGUAAGUCAAGAACGAGUGUGAGAGUGGAAAGUUCACACUGUGACGGUAGCUUACCAGAAAGGGACGGCUAACUACGUGCCAGCAGCCGCGGUAAUACGUAGGUCCCGAGCGUUGUCCGGAUUUAUUGGGCGUAAAGCGAGCGCAGGCGGUUUGAUAAGUCUGAAGUUAAAGGCUGUGGCUCAACCAUAGUUCGCUUUGGAAACUGUCAAACUUGAGUGCAGAAGGGGAGAGUGGAAUUCCAUGUGUAGCGGUGAAAUGCGUAGAUAUAUGGAGGAACACCGGUGGCGAAAGCGGCUCUCUGGUCUGUAACUGACGCUGAGGCUCGAAAGCGUGGGGAGCGAACAGGAUUAGAUACCCUGGUAGUCCACGCCGUAAACGAUGAGUGCUAGGUGUUGGAUCCUUUCCGGGGUUCAGUGCCGCAGCUAACGCAUUAAGCACUCCGCCUGGGGAGUACGACCGCAAGGUUG
rnacentral:rRNA from 1 species